rnacentral:rRNA from 1 species
UAGGGAAUCUUCGGCAAUGGACGGAAGUCUGACCGAGCAACGCCGCGUGAGUGAAGAAGGUUUUCGGAUCGUAAAGCUCUGUUGUAAGAGAAGAACGAGUGUGAGAGUGGAAAGUUCACACUGUGACGGUAUCUUACCAGAAAGGGACGGCUAACUACGUGCCAGCAGCCGCGGUAAUACGUAGGUCCCGAGCGUUGUCCGGAUUUAUUGGGCGUAAAGCGAGCGCAGGCGGUUAGAUAAGUCUGAAGUUAAAGGCUGUGGCUUAACCAUAGUACGCUUUGGAAACUGUUUAACUUGAGUGCAAGAGGGGAGAGUGGAAUUCCAUGUGUAGCGGUGAAAUGCGUAGAUAUAUGGAGGAACACCGGUGGCGAAAGCGGCUCUCUGGCUUGUAACUGACGCUGAGGCUCGAAAGCGUGGGGAGCAAACAGGAUUANAUACCCUGGUAGUCCACGCCGUANNGAUGAGUGCUAGGUGUUAGACCCUUUCCGGGGUUUAGUGNCGCAGCUAACGCAUUAAGCACUCCGCCUGGGGAGUACNACCGCAAGGNUG